rnacentral:rRNA from 1 species
CAUACCAUUUGUUGCCUCGGCGGUGCCUGCUUCGGCAGCCCGCCAGAGGACCCAAACCCUUGAUUUUAUACAGUAUCUUCUGAGUAAAUGAUUAAAUAAAUCAAAACUUUCAACAACGGAUCUCUUGGUUCUGGCAUCGAUGAAGAACGCAGCGAAAUGCGAUAAGUAAUGUGAAUUGCAGAAUUCAGUGAAUCAUCGAAUCUUUGAACGCACAUUGCGCCCGCCAGUAUUCUGGCGGGCAUGCCUGUUCGAGCGUCAUUUCAACCCUCAAGCCCCCGGGCUUGGUGUUGGAGAUCGGCGUGCCCUCCGGGGCGCGCCGGCUCCCAAAUAUAGUGGCGGUCUCGCUGUAGCUUCCUCUGCGUAGUAGCACACCUCGCACUGGGAAACAGCGUGGCCACGCCGUUAAACCCCCCACUUCUGAAAGGUUGACCUCGGAUCAGGUAGGAAUACCCGCUGAACUUAAGCAUAUCAAU